UCAGCAUUCUGAAGAGGAAUCAUCAAUAUGAAGGACGAGGAAAAAGAGAUGAACCAAGAUGAAGAUGUUAAAGAUGAAACAAAGAUGAGGAGCCAAAAAAAGAAAGAAAAAGAAAAGAUUAUCAAUGUUUAUCCUUAGAACUCAAAUAGGAGGAGAUGAUGAUCACUAUUCUGAUGAUCAUGAAAGGGUAUCAUGAAUUGUUCACCAUCAAUUGAUUUGUUCAAUAGAUUCAAUUUUUCCAUUUCUCCUCCUUAUAUGAUUGAACUUUUCAAAUGCACUCUCAUUAAUAACUCGUCUGGUCAAUCAUGGAGCAAAUAGUAUUGACCAUCACCUACUUUUCUGGUUAUUGUACAACCAUUGGUGAUGAAUAUUAUUGGAAAUCUUGUUGUUCUUACUUUCUUCAUCUUCUUCUCAUCUUUAUCAUGGUCAUCGUUUAGAUCAACUGAAUUUCAGACUGGAAUCAAUAAAAACAACAAGAUGAAGCAAGGAAAAAAAAAUCAUCUCUGAAUGGGAACAAAAACAAAAGGAUACAAAUAUUGGCAACUUGAAGUGAAUAAGAAUCAAUCAGAGGAUGUAUUAGGUGGAAGAAGAUGAAGAUGAUGUCAAUGUGAGAAGGGAAGAUGAGGAUGAGGAUGGAUGGUCAGUAGAAGGGGAAAAAAAGAGCAGAGCUCUGGACAAUAUUGGUGAUUGACUUUUUUUCUUUACUCUUUUUCUGGUUGAGAAAAUGAAAGAAACAUCUUGACCUUGAAAAACCAUAAUCAUGAUAAUGACCAUUGUUUACCUUUCGAUGACUAUGAUGAUGAUUAUGAUGACAAUAAUAAUGAUGAGGGUGAUUAUCAUGGGGAAGGAAGUAGAUGAAGAUGAUGAAAAAAUGCUUCAUUCCAUACGAUUUAACCAUCAUCAUCAUUUUCAGUUUUCAUCAUGAUCAUCAACAGAAUAACUCAUAUGAUGAUGAACUUCAUAUUGUAUUAUUACCCUCUGGUUAAAUUUAGGAUAAAUGAUGAUGAUGGUGAUGAUGAUAAUCAAUUCUGAUUACAAAUGGUCAGAAUUGUUUCAUUACAAAUCUACAAUAGGAAAGUUGAAAAGUUAAAGUGAAAUAAACAAUAGGUGAAUUCUGGAAAUAAAUGAUAAAAAAAAACUUCA